AUUGAACGCUGGCGGCAUGCCUUACACAUGCAAGUCGAACGGUAACAGGUCUUCGGAUGCUGACGAGUGGCGAACGGGUGAGUAAUACAUCGGAACGUGCCUAGUAGUGGGGGAUAACUACUCGAAAGAGUGGCUAAUACCGCAUGAGAUCUACGGAUGAAAGCAGGGGAUCGCAAGACCUUGUGCUACUAGAGCGGCCGAUGGAAGAUUAGGUAGUUGGUGGGAUAAAAGCUUACCAAGCCGACGAUCUGUAGCGGGUCUGAGAGGACGAUCAGCCACACUGGGACUGAGACACGGCCCAGACUCCUACGGGAGGCAGCAGUGGGGAAUUUUGGACAAUGGGCGCAAGCCUGAUCCAGCAAUGCCGCGUGCAGGAUGAAGGCCUUCGGGUUGUAAACUGCUUUUGUACGGAACGAAAAGCCCCGGGUUAAUACCCUGGGGUCAUGACGGUACCGUAAGAAUAAGCACCGGCUAACUACGUGCCAGCCGCCGCCGUAA
rnacentral:rRNA from 1 species